rnacentral:rRNA from 1 species
AAAAAAGGUAAGCUACUAAGAGCGAAUGGUGGAUGCCUUGACUGGUAAAGGCGAUGAAGGACGUACUAGACUGCGAUAAGCUACGGGGAGCUGUCAAGAAGCUUUGAUCCGUAGAUUUCCGAAUGGGGCAACCCAAUGUAUAGAGAUAUGCAUUACCUAUAUAGGAGCGAACGAGGGGAAUUGAAACAUCUUAGUACCCUCAGGAAAAGAAAUCAAUAGAGAUUGCGUCAGUAGCGGCGAGCGAAAGCGCAAGAGGGCAAACCCAGUGCUUGCACUGGGGGUUGUAGGACUGCAAUGUGCAAGAGCUGAGUUUAGCAGAACAUUCUGGAAAGUAUAGCCAUAGAGGGUGAUAGUCCCGUAUGCGAAAAACAAAGCUUAGCUAGCAGUAUCCUGAGUAGGGCGGGACACGAGGAAUCCUGUCUGAAUCCGGGUCGACCACGAUCCAACCCUAAAUACUAAUACCAGAUCGAUAGUGCACAAGUACCGUGAGGGAAAGGUGAAAAGAACUGAGGUGAUCAGAGUGAAAUAGAACCUGAAACCAUUUGCUUACAAUCAUUCAGAGCACUAUGUAGCAAUACAGUGUGAUGGACUGCCUUUUGCAUAAUGAGCCUGCGAGUUGUGGUGUCUGGCAAGGUUAAGCAAACGCGAAGCCGUAGCGAAAGCGAGUCUGAAUAGGGCGCUUAGUCAGAUGCUGCAGACCCGAAACGAAGUGAUCUAUCCAUGAGCAAGUUGAAGCUAGUGUAAGAACUAGUGGAGGACUGAACCCAUAGGCGUUGAAAAGCCCCGGGAUGACUUGUGGAUAGGGGUGAAAGGCCAAUCAAACUUCGUGAUAGCUGGUUCUCUCCGAAAUAUAUUUAGGUAUAGCGUUGUGUCGUAAUAUAAGGGGGUAGAGCACUGAAUGGGCUAGGGCAUACACCAAUGUACCAAACCCUAUCAAACUCCGAAUACCUUAUAUGUAAUCACAGCAGUCAGGCGGCGAGUGAUAAAAUCCGUCGUCAAGAGGGAAACAACCCAGACUACCAGCUAAGGUCCCUAAAUCUUACUUAAGUGGAAAACG